rnacentral:rRNA from 1 species
GCGUGAGUGACGAAGGCCCUAGGGUUGUAAAGCUCUUUCACCCGUGACGAUGAUGACGGUAGCGGGAGAAGAAGCCCCGGCUAACUCCGUGCCAGCAGCCGCGGUAAGACGGAGGGGGCUAGCGUUGUUCGGAAUUACUGGGCGUAAAGCGCGCGUAGGCGGCUGAUCAAGUCAGGUGUGAAAGGCCCGGGCUCAACCCGGGAACUGCAUUUGAGACUGGUCGGCUCGAGUCCGGGAGAGGGUGGUGGAACUCCCAGUGUAGAGGUGAAAUUCGU